rnacentral:tmRNA from 2 species
AACUUUCAUUUUCACCUAUUUGCCUGUUAUAAUGAUAGUGCAAGCUUCGGCUGGCUAUAACGAUAAACAUAAUGUGAAAUAAGCAGGGCGGACCCGGGGGCGGUACCCGGCGCCUCCACCAAUCUACCUUCCGUCCCAAGGGGCAAUAGGAAUUUGGGGGCGAAAUAGGAUCGACGCAUGUGGUAAAGGCAUUAUUUUCGUUCGGUAUGGUACCCGCCGUUAUCGGGCCAUGUAGUAGUUGCAAACGACAACACUGCUCCGGUUGCUAUCGCUGCUUAAUGCGGCNGGCNNAACCACUUUAAAGUCCUGANGGNUUGAGCUCUGUCAGGCGGGGUUUGGGGCUGCACCUGGCAACAGAAGCGGUCCCGCU